UACGGGGGGGGCAAGCGUUGUUCGGAAUUACUGGGCGUAAAGGGCUCGUAGGCGGCCAACUAAGUCAGACGUGAAAUCCCUAGGCUCAACCUAGGAACUGCGUCUGAUACUGGAUGGCUUGAAUCCGGGAGAGGGAUGCAGAAUUCCAGGUGUAGCGGUGAAAUGCGUAGAUAUCUGGAGGAAUACCGGUGGCGAAGGCGGCAUCCUGGACCGGCAUUGACGCUGAGGUACGAAAGCGUGGGGAGCAAACAGG
rnacentral:rRNA from 1 species